UACGGAGGGUGCAAGCGUUAAUCGGAAUUACUGGGCGUAAAGGGUGCGUAGGUGGUUCGUUAAGUCCGUUGUGAAAUCCCCGGGCUCAACCUGGGAACUGCAUUUGUGACUGUAGAGCUGGAGUACGGUAGAGGGGGAUGGAAUUCCGCGUGUAGCAGUGAAAUGCGUAGAUAUGCGGAGGAACACCGAUGGCGAAGGCAAUCCCCUGGACCUGUACUGACGCUCAUGCACGAAAGCGUGGGGAGCAAACAGG
rnacentral:rRNA from 1 species